UCCUCCUUAGCUCAGUCGGUAGAGCAUGCGGCUGUUAACCGCAGUGUCGCUGGUUCGAGUCCAGCAGGGGGAGCCA
rnacentral:tRNA from 2 species